rnacentral:rRNA from 1 species
AUGACGUGGGGCGGGGAGUCCGGAUUCUGGAAGGUGACGGAAGCUUCUGAAACUUGGUGGAACGCGCGGGAUGCGGCGACGCGGAAAGUUCCAGAGCUCCAUCACGGUCUUUCUUUAGGAGCAGAGACAUUUUCCUUUCACUUUUAUUUUUGGAAAGAUGAUCCGUUCUCCAGAAACUUCUCCAAUCCUCCCGUGCAUAUCUGCGAUCACUGCUGGUUUGUGUCGAAUUCAGGGACUAGGAGCAUCGCAACAUGGUCAGGAACAAACUCGGAUAAAUGUCAGUCACCUCAAAAUAACGAAGAUGUGUAG